AGUGAACGCUGGCGGUAGGCCUAACACAUGCAAGUCGAACGGCAGCACAGUAAGAGCUUGCUCUUACGGGUGGCGAGUGGCGGACGGGUGAGGAAUACAUCGGAAUCUACUUUUUCGUGGGGGAUAACGUAGGGAAACUUACGCUAAUACCGCAUACGACCUACGGGUGAAAGCAGGGGAUCUUCGGACCUUGCGCGAUUGAAUGAGCCGAUGUCGGAUUAGCUAGUUGGCGGGGUAAAGGCCCACCAAGGCGACGAUCCGUAGCUGGUCUGAGAGGAUGAUCAGCCACACUGGAACUGAGACACGGUCCAGACUCCUACGGGAGGCAGCAGGGGGGAAUAUUGGACAAAGGGCGAAAGCCUGAUCCAGCCAUACCGCGUGGGUGAAGAAGGCCUUCGGGUUGUAAAGCCCUUUUGUUGGGAAAGAAAAGCAGCAGGUUAAUACCCCGCUGUUCUGACGGUACCCAAAGAAUAAGCACCGGCUAACUUCGUG
rnacentral:rRNA from 1 species